rnacentral:rRNA from 1 species
UACGUAGGGUGCGAGCGUUAAUCGGAAUUACUGGGCGUAAAGCGUGCGCAGGCGGUUUUGAAAGUCAGAUGUGAAAUCCCCGAGCUCAACUUGGGAACUGCGUUUGAAACUCCAAAGCUAGAGUAUAGGAGAGGGGAGUAGAAUUCCACGUGUAGCAGUGAAAUGCGUAGAGAUGUGGAGGAACACCGAUGGCGAAGGCAAUCCCCUGGACCUGUACUGACGCUCAUGCACGAAAGCGUGGGGAGCAAACAGGAUUAGAAACCCCUGUAGUCC